UAAAUACUCCCUCCGUUCCAAAAUUCUUGUCUUAGAUUUAUCUAGAUACGGAUGUACCUAAUACUAAAACGUGACUUGAUACAUCCGUAUUUGGACAAAUCUAAAACAAGAAUUUUGGAACGGAGGGAGUAUAAG
rnacentral:pre_miRNA from 1 species